AGCGUCUGGUCGGGUGUGGUCCAGGUUCCUGUUGUCCGUCCCCUGGGGUGGAGUUGGCCAGCUCAUCACCUGCUUCCAAUUUCCGGGGCUCCAUCUAGAGGGUUUUUAAGCCAGCACUGCCUGCCACUCCUCGCCAGUUCGUCCUGCUACCACCCGUGAUUCAUCACCCGUCGUACUCAUCAGCAGCGCUGGUUCUGUUUCCGUCCCGUUCUCCAGUCUGCCCACAACCCUAGGACCACACACUCAUCUUCUCCUCAGCCUGCCCUCCAGCCCGUACUUCAACUUCCCUGGACACCUUGGAACCUGGACCAGCCUCCCCACACUCUCAACCAUCCCUGGGACGCUCCCACGGCAACCCCUUCCCCGCCUAAUAGCUGGUGUUUUCAAAAGUUCCCGCCCGUGUUCUCCCUGUGUUCUACGUCCGUUUCUCCGCCCUCGGGCCUCCCUCAGUUCCUGCGAAUGAUUUCUGUUAGACCCGGUUUUGUUUAAGUUCCUUUUCCUUUCAAUAAAUUGUACAUAGU